CUAAUGUAUAUUCAUCAUUCUUACACCCACAACAUCAAUAAGAUCAAUGAAAAAUAACUAACAUGGACGCUUGAAAAAGUUGAUAUACAUCUCAGAGAAGAAGACCUGCUACCUAGCUAACGACAAACUGCACAAACAAUCAACGGAGAGGAGGAGGGAAAGCAACUACAUGUUCAAAAAUAGUAAAAAAUAAGAAGGAAGGGAGGAGGGUAUGAGGGGAAGACGACCAGAGGGAGAAAGAAGAAAUAAUAAAGAGGGUAUAGGGUUUGGUUUGGUGUGAGAUACGGUAGAGGAAAUGAACCUUUUAUAAAACCAAUUCAUAGGCUUGAAAGAAGUAGACUCAGGGGUACGAUUGGUAUUAAAACAAAAUUGGGAGGUACAAGAUAAGGUUAGAGAAGUACAGGAAGAAUGACUCAAAUAUUAGUUGAUGUAUAUUUUUAAUGGUGAAAUACUAUGUUCAGUUAUAGCAUAUUGAAUAAGAAAUUCUUUAACAAAAUUAUUCUAACUCUACUAAUUAUCAUAUUCACACAAAAGAAAAUUAUUUAAGUGUUGUAAAUUGAUGGAGUUUCUAUAAUCAUUCAGUUUGGAAAAAAUUGUAUCAACUAGGUUAUAU
rnacentral:lncRNA from 1 species